rnacentral:misc_RNA from 1 species
AGUCGAAGUUGGCCCCCGAAGCUCUUCCGUCUCCCCCCCGGGCCUCCCGGGGAGGUUGCGGGCGGCGAGGGGUGCCUCCGGCCGCACGCCCAUUCUUGUCUACUGACCCGGUUGCCUCGGCGGGCCGCGCCUGCUGUGCUACAGCGGCCGUUCGGGGGGGACGCCUGAGGGGGACUCUUGUUUCCUAGGCCACGCCCCGGGCAGCGCUCGCCGGAGGAUUACUCUGGAAAACACACUCUUGAAAGAACAUACCGUCUGAGCGAGCAACGCAAAUCAGUUAAAACUUUCAACAACGGAUCUCUUGGUUCCGGCAUCGAUGAAGAACGCAGCGAAAUGCGAUAAGUAAUGUGAAUUGCAGAAUUCCGUGAAUCAUCGAAUCUUUGAACGCACAUUGCGCCCCCUGGCAUUCCGGGGGGCAUGCCUGUUCGAGCGUCAUUUCAACCCCCUCAAGCCCGGCUUGUGUGAUGGACGACCGUCCCCCCUCCCCAACAACACCCACCGCUUAGGGGGGUGGGAGGGAGGGGGAC